UGGGGAAUAUUGCACAAUGGGCGCAAGCCUGAUGCAGCCAUGCCGCGUGUAUGAAGAAGGCCUUCGGGUUGUAAAGUACUUUCAGCGGGGAGGAAGGGAGUAAAGUUAAUACCUUUGCUCAUUGACGUUACCCGCAUAAGAAGCACCGGCUAACUCCGUGCCAGCAGCCGCGGUAAUACGGAGGGUGCAAGCGUUAAUCGGAAUUACUGGGCGUAAAGCGCACGCAGGCGGUUUGUUAAGUCAGCUGUGAAAUCCCCGGGCUCAACCUGGGAACUGCAUCUGAUACUGGCAAGCUUGAGUCUCGUAGAGGGGGGUAGAAUUCCAGGUGUAGCGGUGAAAUGCGUAGAGAUCUGGAGGAAUACCGGUGGCGAAGGCGGCCCCCUGGACGAAGACUGACGCUCAGGUGCGAAAGCGUGGGGAGCAAACAGG
rnacentral:rRNA from 1 species